CGUUGUUGUGCCAUGCAAGUACA
rnacentral:siRNA from 1 species